rnacentral:rRNA from 1 species
CAGCACCUCAAGUGGUCAGGAUGAUUAUUGGGCCUAAAGCAUCCGUAGCGGGCGCUGUAAGUUUUCGGUUAAAUCUGUACGCUCAACGUACAGGCUGCCGGGAAUACUGCAGCGCUAGGGAGUGGGAGAGGUAGACGGUACUCGGUAGGAAGGGGUAAAAUCCUUUGAUCUAUUGAUGACCACCUGUGGCGAAGGCGGUCUACCAGAACACGUCCGACGGUGAGGGAUGAAAGCUGGGGGAGCAAACCGGAUUAGAUACCCGAGUAGUCC